GGUAACGCUAGACGAGGCCGGCGCGGCGGCGGCGCCUGCGCGCUGGCGGCCGGCCGGCUGAUGGGCGGUGCGCCGGCCCGGCUCGGCAGUCGGCUCCCUCGGAUUGAGUGCGUCGGUUCCGGACAGGUCCGCAGAUAACUCCGAGCAGCCAACUCCCUCACAGCCGUCACCAUGGAGGCCAUCAAGAAGAAGAUGCAGGCGAUGAAGCUGGAGAAGGACAACGCGAUGGAUCGCGCUGACCUUCUCGAGCAGCAGGCCAAGGACGCCAACCUGCGCGCCGAGAAGACCGAGGAGGAGCUGCGCGCUCUGCAGAAGAAGCUGCAGCAGACGGACAACGAGCUGGACACGGUGCAGGAGGCGCUCACCACCGCCAACCACAAGCUGGAGGAGAAGGACAAGGCUCUGGCCACGGCUGAGGGCGAGGUGUCGGCUCUGGGCCGCCGCAUCCAGCUGCUGGAGGAGGACCUGGAGCGCUCCGAGGAGCGGCUCGCCACCGCCACCACCAAGCUGGCCGAGGCCUCCCACUCGGCCGACGAGUCCGAGCGCAUGCGCAAGGUGCUGGAGAACCGCAGCCUCUCGGACGAGGAGCGCAUGGACGCGCUCGAGAACCAGCUGAAGGAGGCCCGCUUCCUGGCUGAGGAGGCCGACCGCAAAUACGACGAGGUGGCCCGUAAGCUGGCCAUGGUUGAGGCCGACCUCGAGAGGGCUGAGGAGCGCGCCGAGACGGGCGAAUCUAAGAUCGUGGAGCUGGAGGAGGAGCUGCGUGUCGUCGGCAACAACCUCAAGUCGCUCGAGGUCUCGGAGGAGAAGGCCAACCAGCGAGAGGAGGCGUAUAAGGAACAGAUCAAGCAGCUAACGAACCGAAUGAAGCAGGCUGAGGCUCGCGCUGAGUUCGCCGAGCGGUCGGUGCAGAAGCUGCAGAAGGAGGUCGACAGACUGGAAGUGGCGCUGGUCGAGGCGCGCCACCAGCAGAAGCUGCUCGAGGACGAGAUGGACACGACGCUGAAGGACAUUCAGAACUUGUGAGCGCGCUGCCUAGCAGUGAGCGUGGGACCCGUGGUGGCCGGCCGCCGGGCAGACGAUCUGGUGCACGAGAAGGAGAAGUUUAAGUCCGUCUCUGACGAGCUGGACACGACGUUCUCGGAGAUGUCCGCCUACUAAACUGCCUGGCGCGCGAGCCGCCGCCACCGCUACCACCGCUGCCGCCGCCGGCCGAGCGCCCACUAACCAGCCGUGUGCGGAGCUGCGUCCGCCCGCUGUUCGUCUGCCCGUCCGACAGCUCUCUCUCUCUGCCUGUCUCUCUCUCCCUUCUGUCUGUCCGCCUCUCUGCCUGCCUGCCUGCCUGUCUGUCUGUCCGGCUUUCCGUCUGUCUGCGGCCGUCUGUGGCCCGUGACCCGGUGUCCUGGUCAGCGGCCGUGGGGGAGGCCGGCGCGCCCGGAGGCCGACCGUGACGCGCCCGCCCCCUCCGCGCUCCCACCCGCAGACGAGCUCGUCAACGAGAAGGAGAAGUACAAGGGGAUCGCCGACGAGAUGGACACGGCGUUCGCCGAACUCUCCGGCUACUAAGCAGUCAGUGCGAGCAGCACGGAGCGCCCGCCGCCGGCGGGCCGCGUCACCAGGGCGGGGACGGACCGGGACCGGGCGCCGCCACCGCCACGCGACCCACUGACUGAUGAUGCUGACCGGCGGCGCCCGCCGCCCGCGCCGCCCCCGCCCGCCGGCGACCGGCCGCCGCCGCCGCCGCCGAGUAACUGUCCGUGGCACCGCGGACGCCCGGCCGUGCCGCCGCCGCCGCCGCAGCUUCUCUGUCGCGCUGUCGCCGCCGUCACCAGAGCGCCGCCCAAAUUCCCCCUCCCUCUUCUCUCAAUCCCGUCUAUUGUAUGUAGCCUGUUCUCUUUUGUAAUUUUUACUAUUGUAUUUGUUAGCUUGUCAGAAGAAUAUGGCUAUAUUAUUAUGUAUGGGUUCGAAUGAUGGAUAGGUGCGUGUCUUGCGUCAGCGUCAUUGAUUUUCGGCUAGAUCACGCGGUGACAAAAUGAAAUUGUGAUUAUAUCGCAAGUUGUACACAGCUGAACGAAAUGACUUAAAAAAUCUAACAAUUUUUA
rnacentral:misc_RNA from 1 species